UGGGGAAUUUGGACAAUGGGCGAAAGCCUGAUCCAGCAAUGCCGCGUGUGUGAAGAAGGCCUUCGGGUUGUAAAGCACUUUUGUCCGGAAAGAAAUCCUUGGCUCUAAUACAGUCGGGGGAUGACGGUACCGGAAGAAUAAGCACCGGCUAACUACGUGCCAGCAGCCGCGGUAAUACGUAGGGUGCAAGCGUUAAUCGGAAUUACUGGGCGUAAAGCGUGCGCAGGCGGUUUGCUAAGACCGAUGUGAAAUCCCCGGGCUCAACCUGGGAACUGCAUUGGUGACUGGCAGGCUAGAGUAUGGCAGAGGGGGGUAGAAUUCCACGUGUAGCAGUGAAAUGCGUAGAGAUGUGGAGGAAUACCGAUGGCGAAGGCAGCCCCCUGGGCCAAUACUGACGCUCAUGCACGAAAGCGUGGGGAGCAAACAGGAUUAGAUACCCUGGUAGUCCACGCCCUAAACGAUGUCAACUAGUUGUUGGGGAUUCAUUUCCUUAGUAACGUAGCCUAACGCGUGAAGUUGACCGCCUGGGGAGUACGGUCGCAAGAUUAAAACUCAAAGGAAUUGACGGGGUCAUAGCUGUUUCCU
rnacentral:rRNA from 1 species